rnacentral:rRNA from 1 species
GACGAACGCUGGCGGCGUGCUUAACACAUGCAAGUCGAACGGAGUGGCGAACGGGUGAGUAACACGUGGGUGAUCUGCCUUGCACUUCGGGAUAAGCUUGGGAAACUGGGUCUAAUACCGGAUAGUGCAAGAUGAGCUCGCGGCCUAUCAGCUUGUUGGUGGGGUAAUGGCCUACCAAGGUGUCGACGGGUAGCCGGCCUGAGAGGGGGUACGGCCAAAUUGGGGCUGAGGUACGGGCCAGGAGCCUAUGGGAGGCAGGAGUGGGGAAGAGUGCACAAUGGGCGGAAGCCUGGAGCAGGGACGCCGGGGGGGGGAUGAAGGCCUUCGGGUUGUAAACGCCUUUCGACAGGGACGCGGUACCUGUAUAAGAAGCACCGGCUAACUACGUGCCCGCAGCCGCGGUAAUUC